rfam:Nomascus leucogenys chromosome 17, whole genome shotgun sequence.
GCCGGGUGUGGUGGUGCACACCUGUAAUCCCAGCUACUUGGGAGGCUGAGGCAGGAGAAUUGCUUGAACCUGGGAGACAGAUGUGCAGUGAGCUGAGAUCGCUCCACUGCAACUCCAGCCUGGGUGACAAAGGGAGACCCUGUCUCCG